UACUCUGGGGAGAAGGUUGAGAGGAGGAA
rnacentral:sRNA from 1 species